rnacentral:rRNA from 1 species
CCUACGGGAGGCAGCAGUGGGGAAUAUUGCACAAUGGGGGAAACCCUGAUGCAGCGACGCCGCGUGAGUGAAGAAGUAAUUCGUUAUGUAAAGCUCUAUCAGCAGGGAAGAAAAUGACGGUACCUGAGUAAGAAGCCCCGGCUAACUACGUGCCAGCAGCCGCGGUAAUACGUAGGGGGCAAGCGUUAUCCGGGUUUACUGGGUGUAAAGGGAGCGUAGACGGCAGUGCAAGUCUGGAGUGAAAGGCGGGGGCUCAACCCCGGGACUGCUUUGGAAACUGUGUAGCUGGAGUGUAGGAGGGGUAAGCGGAAUUCCUAGUGUAGCGGUGAAAUGCGUAGAUAUUAGGAGGAACACCGGUGGCGAAGGCGGCUUACUGGACUGUAACUGACGUUGAGGCUCGAAAGCGUGGGGAGCAAACAGGAUUAGAUACCCUGGUAGUC